AUUGAACGCUGGCGGCAGGCCUAACACAUGCAAGUCGAGCGGAUGAAGGGAGCUUGCUCCUGGAUUCAGCGGCGGACGGGUGAGUAAUGCCUAGGAAUCUGCCUGGUAGUGGGGGAUAACGUCCGGAAACGGGCGCUAAUACCGCAUACGUCCUGAGGGAGAAAGUGGGGGAUCUUCGGACCUCACGCUAUCAGAUGAGCCUAGGUCGGAUUAGCUAGUUGGUGGGGUAAAGGCCUACCAAGGCGACGAUCCGUAACUGGUCUGAGAGGAUGAUCAGUCACACUGGAACUGAGACACGGUCCAGACUCCUACGGGAGGCGGCAGUGGGGAAUAUUGGACAAUGGGCGAAAGCCUGAUCCAGCCAUGCCGCGUGUGUGAAGAAGGUCUUCGGAUUGUAAAGCACUUUAAGUUGGGAGGAAGGGCAGUAAGUUAAUACCUUGCUGUUUUGACGUUACCAACAGAAUAGGCACCGGCUAACUUCG
rnacentral:rRNA from 1 species